GUCUUCCAACUACGAUCUCUUCAUGUUUCUGCAUCAUCUUGGGUAAGUCACUCUUGUUAUCAGGUAAGAAAAAUACCUCUUGUUCCCCAAAUUAUCUAGCAGACCAUCAACACAUCUUUUCUGUCUUCGGAUUGUGAUGAGCGAAACUCACAGCAAACAUUGAAUGAUUUCCAAAAGUGAAAGGGACCUGCAACGUCUUCCAACUACGAUCUCUUCAUGUUUCUGCAUCAUCUUGGGUAAGUCACUCUUGUUAUCAGGUAAGAAAAAUGCCUCUUGUUCCCCAAAUUAUCUAGCAGACCAUCAACACAUCUUUCCUUUCUUCGGACUGUGAUGAGUGAAACUGACAGCGAACAAUGAAUAAUUUCCAAAAGUAAAACGGACUUGCUAUGCAUCAUCUUGAGGUAAUUAAUUCAAUUUAUUUCCAAGGUUUCUCAAAUAAUUAAGCAUAUUAAGUCAUUCUGUUCUGAAUUCUUAUAUUUUAAUGCCCUAAUUUUGAAAUCCCACUGGUAUAGUUAUUGCAUGAUUCUCAAAUGUACUAAAUUUCUAAAAGUUCUAAUUUCAAUUGAUGAACUUCUUUUUAGGUUGGACGGAUUAGAUUUGAUGAAACUCUAGAAUACUUUUAUCUCAUCGUCCUCAGAGAAUCUGGAAAAGGAAGUAGAAAUUUGGCAGAAACGUCUGCACCACUUCAAUCACCUUGAAGGAAGGAACAGGUAAUUCAUUCUUUUUAUUUCUAAUAUUUUGAUCCCCAUAAAAAUCAUGAAGGUGGGGCAUCCAGUCAGAGUAAUGA
rnacentral:lncRNA from 1 species